CCGUUCUUGUGUUAUUCGCUGGAUGUUUUCAUGGUCUAGCGAGCGUCAAACAGAACGCAUACUGACGCAACGAAUCACUCCACAAUGGUGGGUCUACUUCAACCAGGACUGCAUCAUUACUAAAGGCUUGCUACAGUU